rnacentral:rRNA from 1 species
CAGCCGCGGUAAUACGUAGGGUGCAAAGCGUUAAUCGGAAUUACUGGGGCGUAAAAGCGUGCGCAGGGCGGUUGUGUAAGACAGGUGUGAAAUCCCCGGGCUUAACCUGGGAAUGGCAUUUGUGACUGCACGGCUAGAGUGUGUCAGAGGGGGGUAGAAUUCCACGUGUAGCAGUGAAAUGCGUAGAGAUGUGGAGGAAUACCGAUGGCGAAGGCAGCCCCCUGGGAUAACACUGACGCUCAUGCACGAAAGCGUGGGGAGCAAACAGGAUUAGAUACCCUGGUAGUCCACGCCCUAAACGAUGUCUACUAGUUGUCGGGUCUUAAUUGACUUGGUAACGCAGCUAACGCGUGAAGUAGACCGCCUGGGGAGUACGGUCGCAAGAUUAAAACUCAAAGGAAUUGACGGGGACCCGCACAAGCGGUGGAUGAUGUGGAUUAAUUCGAUGCAACGCGAAAAACCUUACCUACCCUUGACAUGGCUGGAAUCCUUCAGAGAUGAGGGAGUGCUCGAAAGAGAACCAGUACACAGGUGCUGCAUGGCUGUCGUCAGCUCGUG